AGCACGCUCCUUAGAUCCAUUUCUGAUUGUUAGGAGAUGCUUGAGUCAUUAGCGUGCUAUAUUAUGCAAUACCUUCUUUUUGGUCUUUUUAAACAGUGUUAUAAAUCAGCUUUACUGCUAUAUUUAUAUGAAUCACUGCUUCUGUGACCAACGAGAGGACAAU
rnacentral:snoRNA from 1 species